AUUGAACGCUGGCGGCAGGCCUAACACAUGCAAGUCGAGCGAGCGGCGGACGGGUGAGUAAUGUAUGGGGAUCUGCCUGAUGGCGGGGGAUAACUACCGGAAACGGUAGCUAAUACCGCCUACCAUCAGCUGAACCCAUAUGGGAGUAGCGAGUAGGUAAGGUAACGGCUGACCUAGGCGACGAUCCCUAGCUGGUCUGAGAGGAUGAUCAGCCCAACGGGGACUGGGACACGGCCCAGACUCCUACGGGAGGCAGCAGUGGGGAAUAUUGCACAAUGGGCGAAAGCCUGAUGCAGCCAUGCCGCGUGUAUGAAGAAGGUCUUCGGGUUGUAAAGUACUUUCAGUCGGGAGGCGUUACCGACAGAAGAAGCACCGGCUAACUCCGUGCCAGCCGCCGCGGUAAUUC
rnacentral:rRNA from 1 species